rnacentral:lncRNA from 1 species
GUACUAAUAUGAGUUGACAUUUUAACUUUGAGUUAUCCUAAGAGCUGAGGAUCAAAGAGAUGAAUUACACGGUAACCAUAGUCCAGGGUUCUUGAAUUAACAUGCCAAGAAUUACACUAAUCUUUACAAUCAUUCGGCCUAUUCGGACGUUGAGUAUCAUUGCUAGAUGGUCAUAUUGAUUGUAUAAAAAUUUAUUUUUAUACUAUCGACUUAGAUUCGAGCCUAUAGGAUCACACUCAAAAGAAGUUUCUGAUUGAUCAAAUGGCUG